rnacentral:rRNA from 1 species
GACGAACGCUGGCGGCGUGCUUAACACAUGCAAGUCGAACGGUAAGGCCCUUCGGGGUACACGAGUGGCGAACGGGUGAGUAACACGUGGGUGAUCUGCCCUGCACUUCGGGAUAAGCCUGGGAAACUGGGUCUAAUACCGGAUAGGACCCUGGGAUGCAUGUCCUGGGGUGGAAAGCUUUUGCGGUGUGGGAUGGGCCCGCGGCCUAUCAGCUUGUUGGUGGGGUGAUGGCCUACCAAGGCGACGACGGGUAGCCGGCCGGAGAGGGUGACCGGCCACACUGGGACUGAGAUACGGCCCAGACUCGUACGGGGGGCAGCGGUGGGGAAUAUUGCACAAUGGGCGCAAGCCUGAUGCAGCGACGCCGCGUGAGGGAUGACGGCCUUCGGGUUGUAAACCUCUUUCAGCACCGACGAAGCGCAAGUGACGGUAGGUGCAGAAGAAGGACCGGCCAACUACGUGCCAGCCGCCGCAGUAA